GAUGAACGCUGGCGGCGUGCCUAAUACAUGCGAGUCGAGCGAACAGACGAGGAGCUUGCUCCUCUGACGUUAGCGGCGGACGGGUGAGUAACACGUGGAUAACCUACCUAUAAGACUGGGAUAACUUCGGGAAACCGGAGCUAAUACCGGAUAAUAUAUUGAACCGCAUGGUUCAAUAGUGAAAGACGGUUUUGCUGUCACUUAUAGAUGGAUCCGCGCCGCAUUAGCUAGUUGGUAAGGUAACGGCUUACCAAGGCAACGAUGCGUAGCCGACCUGAGGGGGUGAUCGGCCACACUGGAACUGAGACACGGUCCAGACUCCUACGGGAGGCAGCAGUAGGGAAUCUUCCGCAAUGGGCGAAAGCCUGACGGAGCAACGCCGCGUGAGUGAUGAAGGUCUUCGGAUCGUAAAACUCUGUUAUUAGGGAAGAACAAAUGUGUAAGUAACUAUGCACGUCUUGACGGUACCUAAUCAGAAAGCCACGGCUAACUACGUG
rnacentral:rRNA from 1 species